rnacentral:lncRNA from 1 species
UAGGCUAGACCGUCUAGUCUUGGAGGCUUGGCUUUCAUCGUGUGGUGAGCUUGGGCCCUCCUCCAUCAUCCCCUCCCUCUUGAAAAGGAUUUGUCCUCAAAUCCAAAGCUUUUGCUUUUGAGGGGGCUUGUUGUGGCUGGAUGGUGUCCAUCAUCUCCUCCUUCGGGAAAAGAUCUAUCCUCAGAUUUGCUAACUUGAUCUCGGAUAGCAGCCUCUUGCUUCGUCAAAGGUGUGUCCUCCCGGAUCAAAUAUCAACCUAUGAGAAUCUUGAAACAAAGCAAAGGAGUUAGAGUGAGUAUUUGGAGAACAAUUAAUUGUGUGAAGUUGCCAUCUUUGUUUUUCUCUUGUUUUGGUCAACUUCUCACAAUGCUUCCCUUUUGAUGGUUGUAGGUGCCUUCUAAUCCUCUUAUGUUUUCUAAAAUUUCCAAAAG